rnacentral:lncRNA from 1 species
UCCGUUCGUAUAAAAACUGAUUUGUGUAUGUUGGUUGAGAGUGCACGCUUAAUUUUCAUGCAUGAAUUUGACGCUAGAAUAUAAGGGAGUUUCACCUAAUCGUUAUGAACUUAUAUUCACAAGUAAUGAAGGUUGCUAGUCACAAUCACGUUAAGUAAAUUCUUGGCAUAAGUUUCAUGCAAAUCAUAGUAACGAGUGCCUCGUCAAUGCUUAUGUUUUUCAUAGAACUUAAUGAUUCUUGCUUGUAUCUCUAUUAUGCAAUUCAUGUAGGGAACUUGUAGGGAAUGCUUUGGGUUGUCGUAUGCAAUCAUCCAACCUAAUAACUUGUGGAAAAACUGAGGGUUAAUUAGUGCAAUUCACGGUUAAUUUGGGGCGUUGAGUAUUCAUAGUUUAUCGAAAAGCAACUAGAAAUCGUUUUGUAUGCAAGUGUGACAUGUGUGGAGAAGAACCUCCUAGCUAGCCUUCCAUCCAUAAGUUUCAUUCAAAUUCAUUUACAAUAUGUUUUGUUUUACAAAGUUUGUUUUGUUUUCAAAUU